AUGAUGUUGAUGAUGAUGAUGAUGAUGAUGAUGAUGAUGAUGAUGAUGAUGAUGAUAAUAAUGGUGGUUAUGUUGAUGAUGGUGAUGAUUAUGAUGAUGAGGAUGAUUAUGAUGACAUUGAUGAUAAUAAUGAAAGUAAUGAUCAUGGAAAUUAUGAUGGUGAUAAUGACGAUAAUCAUAGCAGUGAUGAUGUUGAUAACGAUGAUAAAGAAAAUAAUGAUGAUGAAGAAAAUGAGGAUGAUGAUGAUGAUGGAAAUGAUGAUGCUGGUGAUAAAUGUAAUGAUGGUGGUGAUGAUGAUAAUGAUGAUGAUAGUGUGAUGAUGAUAAUGAUGUGAUGAUAUAAUAAAGGUGAUUGUGAUGAUUAUGAUGAAGAUGAUGAUUAUGAUGAUGAUGAUAAAAGUGUUGAUGAUAACACUGAUGAUGUGGUGAUGAUGGUAAUAAUGGCGGUGGUGAUGAUGAUGAUUAUAAUGAUGGUGAUGAUAAUGAUAAUAAAGAAGAUAGUGAUGAAGAUAAUAAUGAUAAUGGUGAUGGUGGUGAUGAUGAUUAUAAUGAUGGUGAUGAAGAUGAUGAUGAUUAUGAUGAUAGUGGUAAUGAUGAUGGUGAUGAUGAUGAUGAUGAUGAUGAUGAUGAUGAUGGUGAUGAUGAUGAUGAUGGUGAUGAUGGUGAUGAAGAUGAUGAUGAUUAUGAUGAUAGUGGUAAUGAUGAUGUGAUGGUGAUGAUGAUGAUGAUGAUGAUGAUGAUGGUGAUGAUGAUGAUGAUGAUGGUGAUGAUCAUGAUGAUGGUGAUCAUGAUAAUGCUGGUGAUAAUCAUCAUGUCCAUAUUUUCCAUCCCUUCUUAUUCUGUCAGACUUUUAUGUUCUCUGUCACUUUCCUUCUUUGUCAUAUCUCAUUCAAGGUCCGACUGAAUCACAGCUAAACCCUUCAAACAAGUCCUGGACCUGAUCUGCUUAAAACUCUCACUGCCCAGAUCCAUGAAAUCAAAGAGGACACGGUCUGGAAAUGACUCUCUGAUUUUUUUUACGUUUGGUUUGAUUUCUAUGGAUUUCAAGUAUUUUCAAAGAGGGGAAUCAUAUAUCUUCAUGUUUUACUGAGACACAUGAGUGUUUUAUACACUGAAGGUGUCACAGCAGCUCUGAACCUUUAUGGUUUCAAGACUGGACCAGGAGGUAGGAAGGAGGAGGGUUCGGGGUUUUGAUGUUUCCUCCUUGACUUUGAGCUCAAAUUGAACAUCGAGACUCCAUCAGAAAACAGAUUAGACUGUGAUACACUCGCCUGUGUACACAGUGUGUGUGUGUGUGUGUUUCUGAAGGUCACUGUCUCAUCUUCAGACUCUCAGAGUGAAAUUAGCUGCAGGGUUUUCUGUCUUCUGUGUGUUCCCCGGUGGUCGAUGAAGUACAUACCUCACAGGUCAGAGUAAAGAUCCUCUCGGUCAAACAUGACUGCAAUACGAGUUUGAGGUAAUCAAUCAAACUAUCACUGCAGUGAGUUUUUUUAUACACUGAUAUCAGUGCAGUUUCAGGGGUGAAGACAGACUCUGAAUGCUGAGCUGAUGAACCGUUUGUCACGUGUUUUUAUUGAAGCAUUUGGAGCAGAUCCUUAAAGACAGACGGAAGAGCUUCAUAUCUGCUUCUUAAGUUCAGUUUUCACCGUUUCCUGUUUCAAUUUGUAGUAUUUCCUCCUGCUGUAGUGGGUCUGCUUUACUUCCUGUGUUUUCCUCCUGUUUGAUGAGUGUCAUUUGUCACACCUGUUGCUUGUUCCUUUUUCUCUGGUCUCAGUUCUCAUCUUUGCUUUGUUAGUUUCUCCUUGAACACUGAAACGUUUUCCUGGUUUUGGACCCAAACCAAAUUCACCCGGUCUCCUCCUUUCAUUAGGGUCAGUUUGUUUCUCCAUUUCUGUGCCUGAAAAGUCAAACUACAGUUUUUGGAUUUUUGUUUCUCAUUUACAUACACAGGCAGGAGGAAGCGAGACCUGAAGAAUUUCAGAAUAAAAGCCGAAGGAUUGGCUCAUCAUGGCAUAAACGGUUAAGAAGGCCUGUCAGGUAUCAUUUCAUCUCAUAUCGCUUGUCUUUCCAAAAUACCGUUACCUAAAGGGACCAGAUCCUGUUCUUGGUUUUGGAGCUAAAAUGAUGGUUAUUAAAUAUCAGGAUCCCUGUGAAUGACUUCCUGGUUGUUUUCUGGGUUUUUGGCUUCAGUUGAAAAUUUGAAAAAAGCAGAACUUUUUCUUUUUUGUUCCUUCGUUUGUUGAACUUUUAGCUCUGUCUGCAUUUCUGGGUUUUUCAAUUUGGUUCAGGUGACUUUCAUGACGAGGGAGUUUCUUUCCAAAGGUAGAAAUCUUUUCGUCUUUAUUGUAAAUCUGAAAUAAAACAACAAUUUUAAUCCAAUAAAGUGAACAUGUCUUAUUCUUAUUGGAGUUCCUCUUCAGAGUGGAGAAUGCAGAGUCCAUGAUUUCUUCAGACUGAACAAGACAGCUUGAACCUCAGUCAACCUUAAAUGGAUAUUCCGGCGUGAAAUUAAUUUAGGGUCAAACACACCAACAGUGAGUUAUGACACCCCCUCCAGAGAUGAAUGUUGCCGACCGCUUGCUUCUCUAGUUAUACCAACUUCAGUAACGACCACAGGAUAGCAAUACACAGCGGUCUGAGGAGCCAUAAACAAACCUCAACUACAGUGGGGUGACGCAGCUCAAGGAACAACAUUUAUGAUCAUUUCUUUAUCAUUUCAUUGAAGUAAUAAUCACCAUAUUAAUAAUUUUGCAUUGCCGACGCGGUAGUUCUUCUGCCUUAGCGUCUCGGUGUGAUUGUAUUUCCAUGAAGAAAUGAAACUUGAUUCUGGACAAACCUUUUCUCUGCUUUUCUUUGCUCCAUGAAACAUUCAGAUGCUUCAGUUUCAGAAUGAAAUACAGACUUUAAAAUCUCCAAACAUCCACUUUUCACACCUUCCUUCUUCCUUUUUUCCUUUCUCUCCUUCCCACUUUUUAAUCAAAACAACAGUUUAAAAAGACAGAGAUAAAAUCUCUCUGUGUCCAUUAGAUCAGAGAGGCUGUAGGCUACAUGUGUGUGUGUGAGUGUGUGUGUGUUGCUAAGCUUCUAUAUUAAGCCGUUCAUAAUCCUGCUGCAGAGGAUUUAUCUAUUUUUUUCUUUUUUCUCUGUUUUUUUCUGUUUUGUCAGGAAUAAAAAAAAAUUAGAAGUUUCAGUUUUAUUUUUUCAGUUUUAUUUUUUCUCCUUACUGCUGUUCUACAGUUUUGUCCUCUCUUCCUCAGACUCAUCUGUCCUGCUCACCUGUGAGUCUUUCUCUCUCUCUUUAUCUGAUUUAAGUUGUUUUCUGUCUUUUUUCAUUGAUUUGAUUUUCCACCAUGAUGAUCUUUACCUUGUUGUCCCUUCGAACAUUUUUUUGUGUCCCACCCUCACAGAAACGCAGUGGAGCAGGCCACCUUCCUGUGAUUCAUUUCAGAGCAGUGCCCUCUGUUGGUUGGUGUCAGGAUUAAAGGAUCACAGAGGAGGCAGUGAUCUGGUUGUGGUUUGUAGAUCUGUAGACAUGUUGUGAUGUGCAGCUUCAAAACUUGAUGGUUUGUGAAAUUUUAUUAAAGAGUAAAAGGUAACUGUCAAAAUAAAGACAAAACAUUUAAAUGAUCAUUUCUUUACCAUUUCCUUGAAGUAACAAUCACCAUAUUAAUCAUUUUCCACUGCAGACGCUGUAGUUCUUCUGCCUUAGAAUCUUGGUCUGAUUGCAUUUCCAUGAAGAAAUGAUCAUAAAUGUUCUUCCUUGAGCUGCGUCACCCCGCUGUAGCCUGUAAUGGACUGGCCUGAGGUCUUGCUACAAACAAGCGGCUGCUGGAAGAGAGUGGGUGAGUUCUGUGUAGUAGCAUCAGAAGUUCUUCAUCAGGCUCAUUUUACACAAAGCUAAACAAGCUUUAAUAUUUCCUCAUUUAGAGGAAAGCUCUUCCACAGAUAUCUCAGCACCUCCAGCUUCACUCAUGAGUUUUUCUCAUUUUUCAGAGCUGUGGUCUUUAAAACGUUUUUAACCACAAACUCAGAGUAACCGCAGCUGUACUGGCCUUUACAGCAGAAUUUUACUCUGUUUGGAUUUGAGAGUUGUUUGUACUGUUUGUUUAAUUGCAUGCCUUUUUUAGGCGUAUGUUUGAAAAUUUUGUGUAUUUCAUGCAGGGUAGGAACUCAAAAAAAAAAAAAAAUCUCACUCUUACGCAUUGAAAAAGGUACAUAGUCCGCAAAGAGAUGGAAAAACAAAAAAGAAGUGUGUGUGUGUGCGUGUGUGUGAGAGAGAGAGAGAGAGAGAGAGAGAGACUAGACAAGUGAAUACAAAACAAAAAGGGAUAUAUAGAUAUUACAUAUACAGUAAUGUUUACACACAUACGAACAGCAAACAAAACACAAACGUAUAACAAUAAAGAACACCGAGAGCGCUGCGUAUCAGAGCGCAUAGAGUGCGGGGCGAGACGUUGGUGCGUGACUAUUUAUGAUUGUCUUUAUCAGAUAUUGCAAACAACGGCGGGAAGGGGGCAAGGGUCUGUGUAGUGGGAGGAGAGAGCGAGAGUGCAUGUGUAUGAGAAAGAAAGAGAGAGACAGUUUACAGAGAGACGGGGGGCUAGUAUAACCAGGGGGUGAUAUCCUUGCUGCAGUAUAACUGUCCGUUUAUGUAAAGUUUGUCCACUGAGAUGACUGCUUUCUUUCCUUCUGACAUCAUUUGUUUGCGAAUGGGGAAGAGUUUUUUGCGCCUGUCCAUGAUUUCUUUCGGGUAUUGAUCAUUUAAUCCAAAGUUCGUUCCUUUGAGCUGUUUUCCUUGAUGUUUGAGCAGUUCUUUCUGUUUAAAGUGUUCGAAUUUGGCGACAAUCGGGCGGGGUCUGUUGGUGGUGGUGUUUUUCUGUCCUAAACGGUGAACGCGGUGAAGUGUGACGUUGUUGACUGUGAUGGGGUGGACUCGGGGGUGAGGAUGGAGAUGAGUGUGUGCUGGGUAAGGAACCUGAACGGGGUCUUUUGUAGGCUGGAGAGAAGCUGGAUUUGGUGAAGUAAUAGUCGAUGUAGUCCUCUAAAGGGUCCAGGUCAAUGAUUGAAUGAAGUAGUCCGUUAGUGGAGAUGGAGCCGAAGUUUAUGGGGAGUGAAAAAAGAAGAGCUUGCAGAAAAGGAAAAUAAUAAUAAUGAUUUUGAAGUCCGGAGAGAAAGUUUGUUCUAGCAACUGGUCGCUGCCAUGUUGAGUCGCGCGAGUCAGCCUGCCACGUGAGUCAGCCUGCAAUUUUUCAAUAAACUGCAGUUCUAAUUGCGUCCACUGGAUGACAAUUGUGUUAAGCAAGCAAACUGUUUAUACUGGGGCAGAGCAAGUAAGCAAGCGCAGCCAAUGCGGAUGAACUACUUUGUGUUUUGCCCAAGCUAUUUAUUUCGGCUUCUACUCUAGCAUUAUAUACUUUGUUACCCUCAUUGCCCCAUAGGGAACCGAAGCCACGCCCACUUCCGCGUUAGCGCUAUAGGUCCUAUUGGGAUAAUAGGAGUGAAUGGACAGGUCUAUGGUAUUUUCUGGUCCGCUUUGUUUUACACCCUGAGUCACAAAUAUGUUGUAUUUUAACUUAAAUGAUAACCAUUAAGGUAAAUAAAGGCUAUGUUUGUUGUGUAAUUGUUGAUCUAUUUGUCUUUGAAAACACGUAAAUGGAGAGACUACAGACCUCAAGAAGUCGCGUAAAUGACGUCACGUCAGUAUUUCUACUUCUAGCUAGCUGACAACUCCUCGUUAUCAUUACCAAAAUGCCUGUGUGUUUUGUGCCAGAAUGUCACCAUAAUAGUUCAGCAGGAUGUUCCUUUCGCCGUUUCCCGGCUGAUAAGAAGAAAAGGAGUCGGUGGAUUCAACUAAUCAGGUGAGACUUACAUGAAAUGCGUCGUCUGUCAAAGCUUAGACAGUGACGCAAAAAUAGUGCGACGAGCGGUGUAGUUCAUUACGUGGUCUCACUCUAAAUUAAACUGUAGUUAUAGCAACAUGUCUAAAAUCACGGCUUUUUUGAGGUUAAAAUGUAAAUUUAAACAUGAUAAACAUUAUAUGUGAAAUCCACGGCGUAUACCAAAGCGGACCAGUAGUUAUAUAUAUCUGUCCAUUCAUUUUGAUGGGCUCCAUAGGACCGUAUGCUAACCCGGAAGUUAGCAUGACUUCGGUUCCCUAUUAUGUCGCUGUCAAAAAAGAGAAAAGUGGACGCAGAGUGCAGAGUGUUCCAAGAAAAAUGGUCAUACUGCUAUUUUUUCACAGAAUUGAAUAGGAAAGCAGUAUGUUUGGUGUGUUCACAGCAUGUUGCAGUGCUGAAAGAGCAUAACCUUCGUCGCCACUAUGUGAGUCUUCAUGCCGACAAAUAUGACAACUUUCAAGGACAGCAGAGAAAACAGAAGGUGGAUGAACUAUUGUCGGGUCUGAAGAAACAGCAGUCUGUUUUUACUCACAGCCAAGACAUCAGUGACGCUGCGGUGAAAGCUAGCUACCUCAUUGAUAACGAAAUUGCAGUGGCUUCAAAACCAUUUAGUAAGGGGGAAUUUAUAAAAACAUGCAUGGUGAAGGCAGCGGAGAUUGUGUGCCCUGAAAAGCGACAGGCUUUUGCAAAUAUCAGCCUGACAAGAAACACCAUCACAGACAGGAUUUCCGAUCUUUCAGUGGAUUUGGACAGCCAGUUAAAGAACACAGUAAAGGCUUUUAUUGCCUUUUCAGUUGUAAUUGAUGAAAGCACGGACAUUACAGAUGUUGCACAACUGGCCAUUUUCAUCCGCGGAGUUGAUGACACAUUGACCGUCACCGAAGAGUUCGUGGAGAUGGUGCCGAUGUCAAGUACAACGACAGCCGCUGAUAUUUUCACCGCACUUGUCGGCGCCCUGGAGAGGGUCGGAGUGGACUGGUCCCGCGCUGUCAGCCUGGCUACGGAUGGUGCGCCCUCAAUGAUCGGAAAAAAAGCAGGUGUUGUGACAAAGUUCAGAGAGAAAGUGCGAUCUGCAAAUGGAGGACGUGAUUUUUGGACUUUUCACUGUAUUUUGCACCAGGAGGCUUUGUGUUGCAAGUCAUUAAACAUGGAUAACGUUAUGAAGGUGGUCAUCCAAACGGUGAAUUUCAUCCGAUCCAGAAGCUUGAAUCACCGUCAGUUUGACAGCCUUCUCAGAGAGAAAGACCACAUCCAUGGCUUGCCAUACCACACUGAGGUAAGGUGGUUAAGCCGAGGUGCUGUGCUGAGGCGUUUCUAUGACUUACGAGAAGAAAUUGAACAGUUCAUGGAAGAAAAGGGUAAACCGGUGUUAGAAUUUCAUUCCGGAGAAUGGAUGCAGGACCUUGCAUUUAUGGUGGAUGUUACCGAGCACCUGAAUACCUUGAACAAACAGCUGCAAGGGCGCAACAAAGUUGUCACACAGUAUUAUGACAGCAUAUGCGCUUUCAAGUUGAAGCUGUCAUUGUGGGAGACGCAACUCGCCGGUGGUGAUGCAGCUCACUUCCCCUGUCUGCGACAUGUGUGCGCGACCCAACAUGUCGCAGACAUGAAGCGGUUCAAAGAAAAAAUAACGGGAUUGUUACGGGAGUUUGAGCAACGUUUUCAGAUUUUUGGUGAACUGAAGAAAGACUUCAAAGUUGUUUGCUCGCCAUUCACCGUGAAUCCCUCAGAUCUGCCCGUCAACAUCCAACUCGAAAUAAUUGACUUGCAGUGUGAUUCGGAUUUGAAGGGCAAAUUUUCCGCAGCUGGCUUGGACACAUUUUAUCAGAAUCUCUUGCCAGGUUACCCCAAAUUG